rnacentral:lncRNA from 10 species
UUUGCCAUGUUGGUCUGUCUGGUCUCAAGUUCCUGGCCUCAUUGAUCUGCCUGCCUUGAGCUCCCGAAGUGUUGAGAUUACAGGCAUGAGCCACCAUUCCUGACCAGCUAUAUGUAUUUUAAAUGGCUUGUGGAUUUGUCAUAACUGCUCAACUUUGCCACUGUAAUAGAAUCCACACUAACCACUUCAUAAUCCUUCUUAAGGACAACCAUGUCCUGGUGGGCCUCGGAAAACUCUCCUUCCUCCACCCGUUCACCCACGGAAUACUGAACAAAGGAACUUGGCAUACAUCAGGCUAAGUUUUAAGGAGGCUUACUACUGCAGUACUGCUUUUGUAAGAGAGUGCCAAGCAGCUGGGGAAACAUGAUACAAGAGACAUUGGUUUUGGAAAAAAGAAAAAGGCAGAAGCUGGAAGACCCUUGGGGCUACUCAAGUGAAGCAGUAGAAGUGGACAAGGAACAAAAAAAUCUACUCACAGCUGGAGAAAAUUUGUGUCAAGAUGAAUCAUGUUUUGAAUCUUCUCUCAUGUCAGAUUUAGAUAACUGUUUGGACUAUGGACCUCUUAGUUGAUGCUGGAAAGUGUUAAGAUUUUGGGGACUAUUAAGGUGAAAUAAAUGUAUUUUGCAUGUGAGAAAGACAUUAAUUUUGGGGGCUGUGGUGGAGAGCUAUGGCUUGAAUGUGUCCCCUAAGAAGCAUGUGUUGGAAACUUAAUCCCCAGUGCAACAGUGUUGGAAAGUUGGGCGUAAGAAAAGAUGUUUAUGUCAUAAGGGCUCCACCCACAUGAAUGCAUUAUUACUGAUUGUUAAAAGGCUUGAGGCUGCAAGUUUGAUCUCUCUCAUACACAAGCAUAUGUGGUUUCUUGCUCUUCUGUCUUUCACCAUGGGAUGGCUCAGUGAGAAGACUCUAACCAGAUGUAGGCCCCCUUGACUUUGAACUUCUCAGCCUCUCGAGCUGUAAGAAAUAAAUCACUGCUUUUUAAAUAAAUUAUCCAGUUUCAGAUAUUCUUUUGUAGCAGCAAAAAAUGGACUAUGACAUGGAGCUUUAAGAGACAUCUGAUAAAAAUAAAAUUUAAGUGAAAACGUGGGCAGAUAGGAUGAGAACCUGUCCCAUGAAAAAACCCUGUGUAGUCACUAGGUGAGAGAAGAAAUUCAGAACACCAUGUCUUCACUCUAUAUGUGUACAUCCUAGAGAUGAAGAAUUAUAGAUUAAAAAACCAAAAUUACUAUUUAAUUAUUUUGUAUAACAAAAUGAGACACUACCAUCACUUUUUGAGACACUUAUAUCUAUGUCAACCAAAAAGCAAAUCCCAAUUUUUCCUCCCCAUACAACAGACCAUCACAUAAACUCCGCCCUGUGAGGGCCCAGGCCAUCUAAUUACAGCAUUGCAGCUAUCACAACUAAGCCAAGUAUCUCAGGAGAAAAAAAGCUACCUGUUUCUAGCCACACAAUUAAGCCAUGUAAACACAUGUCAUACUUUGUGUCAAAGCAGUGAUAGUAUCAGUUACUUAGAGAUGAAUAACUGGUGCUUGGGACUGGAGCAGCCUUGAGACAAGAAUAUCACUCAUCAGUCCCAAAGAAAUGGCAGAGGAGGAACCAUGGCUGGAAAAGCAGACGCUAUAGUGGAAGACAACCUUUUAGGCUUCCUCAAAAGCCUGGAGUUGGGGUAUCUUGCUGGUAAUUGAAAUUCCUAUGUAAAAUGUUGGAAUAAAGAAUAAAGUUAAUUUGGGUGUGUUCUAUUUUUUCCACAUAAACUUGCAAGUUAGACCCACAGUUUUUGCUUAUGUAUCAAUGUUAUAAUAUGCUACUUUAACACUAGUGCUAGUUUAUUAAUCCUAUGAGUUCAACUGUGUAAUUUUCAUUUUUUUGCUGUGUUUUGUAGGAUUUUAUGUAGUUUAAUGUUUUCCUCCAUAUCUGAAAUAAAAUUUAAAAAAGUGUG